rnacentral:rRNA from 1 species
UACCUUUGUGGCGGCGGCGGCCGCGAGGACCUGCUCGAGCAGCUUCUCUAGGAGGAGGCGGAGGGCGGGCUUCUGGGGCGCACGGAGGAGGCGCGGAGGCAGCAGACGUUCCGGACCUCGCCGUAGCAGAGGGCGGGGCCUAAAGCUGCGGCGGAGGUGCUCUAGGUGCCGCAUGGGGGGCACGAGCCGAAGGAGGUGUUGACCUUCCUGCUAAAGUAGGGGGCUAAGUAGAGGUGGUGACGUAGCAGGAAGAGGGAGCGGCGGGGCCUGGCGGCGCGGACCGCCCGGGAGCUGACGGCGGUGCCUGCGCGGGAGAAGAAGGGGGUCCCUAAACCACCAGACCUCGACGAGGACACCCUCGGUUACUGCCCACGGGUCGUCGCGUAUGGCCACGGGCGCCGCAAGUUCACGCUGAUGGGCUGGCGCCGGCACAACACGCGUCGCCUGCCCACGCUGGUGGCGCUGACGGAGCCCCCAGGAAAGGCGCAGCAGAAGGAGAAGCAGCAGCACCAUCUACUCCUCUGGUCGUAUACGAGCAGGUCGUAUAUGAGCAGGCUCUGACCGCGAACCCCCCUCGACUGGAGCCAAGUCACGUGGGAGCUGAAGAGGUAACUUAAGUGUCUUUCGAUGUCGCGCGAGCAGCUGUCUAGACACGAGAUGAAGUGCAGGCUGCCGCUGCGUUCGACACGCAGGCAGCACCUCAUACUGAACCGUUCGGUGUUGGACUGACACAAGCCGGAUGGCCUGUCUCUGAUGCCGGUACGUAUAUCGGAGCACGACCACCUCCUGCCACCUUAGCCUCAUUAGGUUAUGAACCUAUGCGUCGAGUUUAACACCUGUUCUCUCCGGUCACGACUUCGUCCUACCCACGACUUGGCCCAGUACACGAACCUUUUAAGGGAGGGUUACUUACGAGAGAAUGUACGUCACGUUCACGACCCGAAACGACUCCUUCGUUUACAGUAAAAACAAUUGUGCCAACAGCCGUAGAUAUGUUAUCUCGAUGCUAGCCCCGUACACUCCCUCCACACGUCACUAUGACUAGCUCCGAAGACAUCAAACUAGGGUCAACAGUCGAAGAUGUGUGGACAUGGGGCUCCGUUCGUGGUCUUAGACGGCGGCAGCUUCGGAUCACCCCUUCGUCCACCGCUCCUCCUUUUUUGUCACCUAGUCCGUGUUGUUAACAACUUGUUCCCCAGGUUACGAUGGUUCCUUCAACUGAAAUAGUUGUGGAAGCUUAUGCAGUCGGUACUGGAGCUCUAGUCCGAAGGCACAAUACCUCUUCCACGAGACCUCCCACGACCGUGCGAGUUGUUUGGACCUACACGGAACGAUGGGUUUCUAAGAAGUCCACUACAAGGGUUCUCACGUGGUUCAAAUACGGAAACAAAAGUGGAUCCCAAGGGUCCUCAAACACUUACAUGUUGGUCCUCUCUACUACGGCCCUUGAGCUGCUGGAGACUUUCGUUACAACUCCUACGAGGUGGAAACCUCUUUCUAACGACAGGCGUUCAGUUGUACAGGAGAAAGCGAACAAGAAGUCUCGUUGUCGUUCUCCUUCUCCUCACCUUUGCAGUUAUAUUUCUUUUCACUUCUUCUUUUACGUCCGAUCGGUUUUACUUGAACUCGUGUAACUGGGUCCACAACAACGAUACUACUAAAAGCCUCCCGAGCCGUACAGCUUCUUCACUUACGAAAGUCCGUCACACAGAAAAGCAGCUUGUUCUGUACUAGCAGCCGAACGAUAUACAAGGACCUAGAGUACUAACGCGGUCGGACUCAGACUGCGUUUCGAAUUAUAACCUUGCUACUUUGAGACAUUACUUACCACUGGAACACGACAUUUAACCACCAGUAGACUGAUAGACUUUAAGUCUCACUGUAAAGUAGAAACUCUUUGUAUUACUGAUCCCGACGUACAAAGGAGCCAGCGUUCUUUUAUGUUGUAAUAGAAUAUCUUCACCUCAUUAAUC